rnacentral:lncRNA from 1 species
GAGGAAUCCUCUAAACAGUAAACAGCUCAACUCCAGCUGCCACUGGAGAAAGGACAAGAACCACAAAGACAAAAUGAUGUUACAUUUGGGAAUUACAUUUGGGAAUUAAAGUACGGAAAAAAAGAUGGGAGGCAAAACUCUGCCACCCACAACAAAGUGCUUCAUUCACCUGGGCAUUGGAGUCUACACCUUGGAACAGCUGACACCACCAGCUAUUUCCCAACGUGCAGACUUGAAGCCCCCAAAGAGGAUAGGGCCUCCAGAAGCUCCACUUACGUCUGGACCUUGUGCUCCAAAGCAAACACAACCUAUCCGAUGGGUGGUGCAGAAAUAAGCUGAUGCAGCUUUCAUUGACCUUUCAGACUUGACCUUUCUCCUAUAAUCUCUAAUCUUGUUUUUAAUAAAUAUUUAACUUCUUG